rnacentral:rRNA from 1 species
AUUGAACGCUGGCGGCAUGCCUUACACAUGCAAGUCGAACGGCAGCACGGGAGCAAUCCUGGUGGCGAGUGGCGAACGGGUGAGUAAUAUAUCGGAACGUGCCCAGUCGUGGGGGAUAACGUAGCGAAAGCUACGCUAAUACCGCAUACGAUCUACGGAUGAAAGCGGGGGAUCGCAAGACCUCGCGCGAUUGGAGCGGCCGAUAUCAGAUUAGCUAGUUGGUGGGGUAAAAGCUCACCAAGGCGACGAUCUGUAGCUGGUCUGAGAGGACGACCAGCCACACUGGAACUGAGACACGGUCCAGACUCCUACGGGAGGCAGCAGUGGGGAAUUUUGGACAAUGGGCGCAAGCCUGAUCCAGCAAUGCCGCGUGCAGGAUGAAGGCCUCGGUUGUAACUAGCUUUGUUACGGUAACGAACGGUAGAGCUCUAAUAAGACUAGUCUAAUGACGGUACCGUAAGAAUAAGACACCGGCGUAACUACGU